AGACGGUGAUUUUAAUAAUAUUAUUAGUAAAUAGAAGGUAAAAUUAAUAUUGUUUUGUAAUAAAAUUAAAUUAAAGUUGAGGCUAAAAAGUGUUGGAUAUAAACUAGGAUUAGAUACCCUAUUAUUCUAAUAGUAAAAUAGAUCUCUAGAUUAGUAAUAGUUAUUUACUUAAAAUUUAAAAAAUUUGGCGGUAAUUUAAUCUUUCCAGAGGAAUUUGUUUCUUAAUCGAUAAUCCGCGAAAUAUCUUGCUUAUUUUGUUAAUAGUUUGUAUACCAUCAUUAUCAGGUAAUUUUAAAAGAAAUAAUUACUAAAUAUAAUUAAUUAAAAAAAUUAGAUCAUGGUGCAGCUAAUAGAUAAGUUGAAAUGAAUUACAAUAAAUUAUUUUAAUACGAAUUAAUAAAUGAAUAUUUAUUAAGAAGGAGGAUUUGGUUGUAUUUUGAAUUUAAUAUGUUCAAAGGAUAUAAGCUCUAGGUUAUGUACAUAUUGCCCGUCGCUUUCACUUAUAAAU
rnacentral:rRNA from 1 species